rnacentral:rRNA from 1 species
CCCUUGUACACACCGCCCGUCACGCCAUGGGAGUGGAUUGCACCAGAAGUAGGUAGGUUAACCGCAAGGGGGCCGCUUACCACGGUGUGUUUCAUGACUGGGGUG